UAAAAGAAAAAAAUAGCAAUUGUUAUCGGAAUUAUGAGCAAAUUAUACAGCAUAUCAGAGGCAAAAAAUGUAGUCACUCUUUAGGAUAAAUUCGUGAAGAUGGUAUCUCGGUAUAUCCGCCCCUUCCUGUUUCCUUUUCACGAGCUUGGCUAAUCUCUAGGCCACAACAUCCUGUGGGUGGAAUGCAUCGUGUUUGUUAUAAAGUUCUCCGUUCGAACUUGGAAAUCGUCAGUUUGCGUCUUCCGUUACUCGUGACAUUUUUUCGCAAGUGCUCUUUCUCUAAUCCAGAAAAUUGUGAUAAUUUCAAAUAAUAUUAAUUGAAGUGUACUUCGCAUAAUCUAACAGUAGAGAUAAAGUGUUCUUGAAGAGUGAAAUAUUCGCGAUAAAAAGCAGAUAAACACUCUAGAAUUAUGAAGCAGUGAAUCAGCAGUGAAUAUAUCGGAAUGAUGACUAAAAGCAGCUGUCUAACAAUCAGCAGUCUUGACGAGUCAUUCCAUGUACCUGAAUUAGUCGCGAAUAAGCGAUUAUAUGCUAUAAUAAAGGAUGCCGAGGUAGGAGUUUAGUAUCCAUAAACAAGGGAUAAUUUAUAAUCUUAUUUGUACCUGUGUAGCGUUAACUCAUUAUAAUUUUCGUUCUGUUUGUAAUCUUACAAUUAAAUGUCCCAUUAUCCAGUUCUUAACAUUCUUUAGAAAAUAUUUUUUUUUCAAAAUCUCUUAAGCCGUAGGUAAUCAAAAAUAAAUUCGAAUCAAAAUUGGUUGUACGUGCGGUUCUAAAAGAAAGAGACUUAAUCUGAACGCUUUGAAUGCUUCUGUCACAUUGUUACAGCUGAAAUUUGUCAAUAAUUUCGUUUGCAUC